rnacentral:rRNA from 1 species
UACCAGCACCCCGAGUGGUCGGGACGUUUAUUGGGCCUAAAGCAUCCGUAGCCGGUUCUACAAGUCUUCCGUUAAAUCCAGCUGCUUAACAGAUGGGCUGCGGAAGAUACUAUGGAGCUAGGAGGCGGGAGAGGCAAGCGGUACUCGAUGGGUAGGGGUAAAAUCCGUUGAUCCAUUGAAGACCACCAGUGGCGAAGGCGGCUUGCCAGAACGCGCUCGACGGUGAGGGAUGAAAGCUGGGGGAGCAAACCGGGAUUAAGAAACCC